rnacentral:misc_RNA from 1 species
GCAAACUUGGUCAUUUAGAGGAAGUAAAAGUCGUAACAAGGUUUCCGUAGGUGAACCUGCGGAAGGAUCAUUAGGGGGAAGUGAUGAUGUUGUUAUAUUCACUAGUUUUCUUUAAGGGCUUACUCGGCAAGCCGAGUAACUUCGUAACGAUUAAGACUAGCAACGUAACUUUAACGUUUAUUCAACAAUUACAACUACGUAAAUUUACAUGAGCACCUUGCUGCAAUGGAUCUCUCGGCUCUUGCAUCGAUGAAGAACGCAGC